rnacentral:lncRNA from 12 species
CGAGCCCAUAGGCUUUCUGCCCUGAGGAAUGGCUGUGGACACGGGCCAGGGCUGCCAGCGAGCCGCUGGCACCAGCUGCUUUAAUUCACAGGUUGAAGAUGAUGUCAAACUUGAUUGAACGUCCACCUCUGAUGGCUUUACCUGGGACCUAACAACAUCUGUGUCCUACUCACAGUAGCUCUGAAAGGUAAUAUGUGUGGAAGAGAGCAGCCGCCUGCCAUCCAAGCAGUGAGCUCUGACUGAAACAUCACAGCUUCAGGAAUCAAUAAAGCACAAAAAAA